CAAAAUUAUGGUCGUGCCGAAAGUUUUAUAGGUCCAACGGAGCCGAGUUUUAUGGCCGAAUGGGAGGGGUAAUACGUUCUCUGACAGCCUAGAAUAUUUACGGCUAUACGAGAGACUUGAAAAGCAUUGCCCGAAACAGCAGCGCUUUCAGACGGGGUGAGUCCGCCCGGCUCGUCGGACCGCAUGUUCUACGGUUGUAUCAAAAUAACAUCUGGAUGACUUUUCUCGAGCACUUAUUUUCCUCUAACUUCGAAUUUAAUCUAGUUUUCUCUGAUUGGAUCAAUCCUAUAGAUUUCAGUCUUUUGAGAUUGGAAAUCUUUAUGAAUUUUUAUGCUCAAUGUUAUAUUUGUCGAAAAAAAUGUAUUGAUUUUUAUACGGUUUUGUUCGAAAAUUCUCAUUUUGUCGUAGUAAACAACCAGCGGUGAAAUUUAUUAGGCCUAGUAUAGAUGGCGGAAACGAAUUUCUAUGUAGAAUCACCCAGAAAUUUCAAAUACACACAACAGAAAUUGGAUUACCAUUAACUCAUGACUUAAAGCUGACUGUGCACUCUCAGAAAAAUGUUUCAAUGUUAACCAGAAUAUCUGUGCCUUAGACCAUAAUACGGUGCAAAUUUGCUGCAAUCUCAAUAAGGAACCAUCUGUCUUUCUUCUUGAACCAUUGCAUCUUUAAAGUAUUCUUGGACAUCAUAUAAUCCAUCAUCGAUUUAACAACGACAAAUAUAAUAAAAAAAAUAUAUCAAGGUGUUAUUAUUUUUUGGUUUUGCACCAAAGCCUUUACACUAUAUAUUGUUUAAGAUUGUUAUAGUUAAGCUUGCUGAAGUUAUAGUAUUAAUAUAGUUCUAUAACCCUG